AGGGAAGGCCGGCAGACUUCUAGCCCCCUGCCUGGUGUGUAAAGCCCAGCCUCAUACCAGAACAUGGGAGGUGUUCAGCUCAGCAUCUAGAGGCCAUGGUGGGAUCAAGGCUCAGGACCUGUGUUUGGACUCAGCAUGUGUGCUCCUGGUGUCUCUGCUUUCCUGCUCAGGGCGGCAACGCCCCGGCUUCACGGUGACAGCAGAUCUGCAUCAGAACUGAACUCAGCCGUGAGGAAGAGUAAUCACCUACACACAGUACACGCUGCAGGCUCAAAGCCUGCCACGCAGGGGGAUAGCGAGACGGUCAGUGCAACCAGCCCAGGGGACUGAGCCUGGUGCCCAGAACCCACAGAAAUGUGGAUGACGAAGGCUGACUCCACAAAGCGGUCCUCUGACUUCUGCACAUGUGCCACGGUACACGCGUGCAUCACACACAUACAUACUAACAGUUAAUAAAGAUCAAGAGGAAUCUUGAAAACUCUGCAGCGUGAGAGGAGCCGGAUGGGCACGAGAUCACCUGAGAAGACUCCAGAUGGCAUUUCUGGAGGAGACCAUAUCUGUAGUUUUUAGACCUGAUACAGAAAAACGAAAUCGAAUUUGAAGACUUUGAGCUUCAACAUCCAGAAAGCGGCAUUCUUUAAAAAGAUCAUAAAAAUACAUGCCCACCAGAAAAAAAAAAGCCUGGGAAACAGACUCUGGAAGAAGACAGAAGCCUGGCCUGACCCCACGCAGUGCGACAGCAGUGGCUACAGCAUAGAAAUGCAGGAUCAUGUUGAUGCGUCAACAGAAGCCACUGGGCACCUCACGCCCGCUGGGGGUGGCGCCUCUCUUUGUCACAAACAGUUGGGUUGGCUUGCAUUCCCUGGGAAACCUGUCUUAUCCUGGCCCGAAGUCCUUGCAAGUCUUGAGUUGAGCAGCAGCAGCCUCUGUCCUGCCAUAGAGAAGAGUGUUUGGAAGCCAUGCUGGCCAGAGUGUAACCAGAGCCCUCAAAGGGCUCCAUCUCCUAAGCCCAGCUUUAUGCUGACCACCGCAUUACCUGGGGUGGAUGGGAGCAUGGUUGUCUAGGGGCUGAGGACUCCUUGCUGAUCCCAUGCCCAAGCACCUGAUUGGUCUUAAUGACACAAAGUUAGUAAGACUAUGGGCUGUGACCGUCCUUUUCCUGCAGGAAUAAAACAAACAAACAAACAAACAAACAAACAAACAAACACAACAAUAAAAACCUAAGGUGCAGAGGUCAGUCACACUUAGGAAACGGCAACUCUGUGUUCUCUGCCUCUCUCUCUCUCUCUCUCUCUCUCUCUCUCUCUCUCUCUUACUGUGUCAUUUUAUAUGUAUAGAUGUCUUGCCUGCAUGAAUGUCCGUGUAUCUUGUGCAUGCCUGGUGCCCAGAAAGGCCAGAAGAGGGAGUGGGAUUCCCUAGAACUGGAGUUACAGCCGGUUGUGAGCUGCCAUGCAGGUGCUGGGGAUCAAAUCCAGGUCCUCUAGAAGAGCAGCCAGGGCUCCUAACUGCUGAACCAUUGUUUCAGCCACUUGCUUAUUUUUUUCUGAAAAAAAAAAAAGAGUGAUAUAAAUAUACAUAUACAUCAUAUACAUCAUACUCAUAUACAUACACAUUAUACAUAUGCAUCAUCACAUACACAUACACAUAUACAUACAUAUACAUCAUAUACAUCUACAUUACAUAUAUUACAUAUACAUUACAUAUACAUACACAUUAUACAUAUGCAUCAUCACAUACACAUACACACAUCAUAUACAUAUACAUUACAUAUGCAUUACAAUACAUAUACAUACACAUUAUACAUAUGCAUCAUCACAUACAAUAUAAAUACAUCAUAUAUAUACAUUACAUAUACAUUUCAUAUACAUAACACACAUUAUACAUAUGCAUCAUCCAUACACACAUAUAUACAUCAUAUACAUAUAUACAUAUAUAUUACACAUAUAUUACACAUACAUUACAUAUACAUAUACAUACACAUUAUACAUAUGCUUUAUCACAUACACAUACGUAUACAUAUACAUCAUAUACAUAUAUACAUAUACAUUCAUGUAUAUUACAUUUACAUUACAUAUACAUACACAUUAUACAUAUGCAUCAUCACAUACACAUACACACAUAUACAUCAUAUACAUACACACACAUACAUCUACAUUACAUAUAUAUUACAUAUACAUUACAUACACAUUAUACAUAUGCAUCAUCACAUACACAUACACACAUACAUAUACAUCAUAUACAUUCACAUAAACAUACACAUACAUAUACAUUCACAUACUGUGGCAGUCUCUCGCUUGACAUGUGGGAUUCUGGGUUCUCUGUCCUCAAAAUUGCGAAGCCUUCACAGCCCUAGAGUGUUUCUGGAAAACUUGAACUAAAGAGUUCUCAUCCAUCUCUCCUAGGCAAAUGUGAUGUCCAAGACUCCAUGGGUUUGCCCGUCCUGGACACUUCUCAGAAAGGGAAUAACAUGUGUGGCUUUUGUGCCUGGUCAGGUACCAAGGGCCGCGUUGGAGGCUUCUUCUGUAGCAGUGCCUGGCAGGACACCCUUCCUCUUCACAGGUGGCGAACAUCGCAGAGCAUCAUGGACCUGCCUCUGGCCAGUUGCUGGGAACAGCACCUUCAUGAAGACAGGGUCUUGCUACCACCCAGGUUGGCCUGUUACAAGAGUCAUCAACUACAACUGAUCCCAAGAACGGUCUCAUCUUGGAAUCCAGGCUUGCCUCAAACUCAUGGCGAUCCUCCUGCCUCAGCCUCUUGAGUACUGGGAUCAAAGGCACUACACUCUCAGGGGUGGAUCACUCUUGCCCAGCUAGAGGACUUUUAAUGACGAAGUUCCCAGUCCUGACUGCUCACCAGAUCACAUCGGAGGCAAAGACUAGAUUCCCAGGCUCCCUCAGCCUGGGCUGGCUGGAUCUUCUAUUGUCCAUGUACCAUGUGCAGGUUAAGCCCAACUCCUGAGCGUGUGAAGGUCAAGGCCAUGUCACAUCCGGAAGACAGCAUUCAUGUCCCUCCCUCUUACAUUCUUUCUGCAUCUUCUCCAGUGACAGUCCCUAAGUCUUGAAGGGGUCAACAGAGAGUCCCAUUGGGGGCCAAGCACUGAAUAGCCAAUGUUCUCACCAGUUCUGUGGACAGGUUUGUCUACUCUGGACAGACAGAAGUCCCCGUGGCCAAGACCGAGAGCAGCAUUGACCUCUGGGUAGAAAUUGCCAGAAGAUGCAGGUCACUAGAGGAUAAAACCGGUUUCAUCCAGCUGUGAACCCUACAAGCUACCAUUAUUUAUGGAUGUGCUACCAGCAAGAUGUGCCCAUUGAUCCUCCAGUGCCGUGGCUGCUGUGGGGGCCUUCUGCUUGUCACAGUGUCUGAACUUACAGAUUGGAUUCUGCUCUUUCUUGUUGCUGUGUGAGUUCCCUUCUGGGGACACAGCUCAGCCAGCAUGCAUUGCCCCCUUGUUGAGGCAUGUCCGGAUUGUUUUAUGAUUUGAAUUUGGCGUGAAGCGUCUGCAGCUUGCUUAGAUCACGGCGUGCAGCUGCCUUGCUCUUUGCACAGUAUGCGAAUGGGCCCCCCAAGGUGGCCAUAGCUGUAACAUUCCCACUUCAUGAGGAAUUAGAGGCCCGCAAACUGUUCUGCUAAGAAACCUCAUCUUAAGUCCCAGAGCUAGGAGUAGGGUUGGGGCUCAAACCAAAGCUACUGACUCAGAUCCAAGAGCUUGGUGCCUAACAGGAAGUGGCCCGUCCUGGCAGGAGCUGCAGAUGUAGAAGCCCCUGGGUAGUAAGACAUGAGAGGUUUGUCUGCAAAGGGGUCUCUCUUCUUCUCUUUCUUGGCAGACAGCAUCCAUCUUGUUUGCGAAGGGUUUCCACACUUGCCACCUGCUCUGUCUCCUGCUCCAGUUGUGCACUCGUGGCCACUGGGAGCUCUGACAGCCGUGCCAGUGCCCCAUGGAUACGCAGGGUGUCUCUGGGGGUUGUCAAGAAAUCUGUAAACCUACAAGAGACAGCUCUAAGUGUUUAACACGGUGCUCACUGCUGCCAUGAGUGGGGUGUGCGAACAUCAGGAACCCCACUAUGCCAAGCCAGGAGGUCCACGGGGCUGUGGGGCAGCCAGCCUGCUGACCAGAGCCAACUGACAGUCGAGCACAGGCCAGGGCAAGACAGCGUCUCCACCCACCCAGAGGUCUGAGGGCCCUCAAGCUCCCGGGAGGACGGAGAUGACUAGGCAGAGCCCUAGCCGAGUCCCAGGGGUAUCAGUCAGCUUUGGUGUUUCCUGGUGUCCAACUGAGGUCCCUUAUCUGAGGCCCUGGGGCCGGAUCUGUUUCACAAUUUGGAACCUGUCAGACGUGAGAGCAGUAAAUCUGGGUAGAAACAGCUUACGCUGUGUACUGUUAAAGUGCCCCGGGGCUGAGCCACUUCUGCCAGACACUACAGAGGAUGUGCAACAAUAUGUAAUUAGAAAGUUACUCCGAACAACUUCACUCUCCAUUCAGAGCAAAUCUCCUUAUCAAUAAUAUCUCUACCCAUUUAUUGUAUUUGUACAAAACAUGCAUUUUGUUACCAGUAGACACUUUGACGUAUUCUAUGUGACAAUCCACUUAAUGUAACCAUUACAUUUAUCAUAGCAUGAUGUGUUGCUUGGGCAUGGUGUCUGACACCUGUCAUCUCAGCACCCAGGAAGCUGAGGCAGGGGGAUCACUGUGAGUUUGAGGCAGUUUAGGCCUUGGAGACAGUUAAGAUUCUGUCUCAAAAAUUAAUUUAUAUUUAAAAGAAAGGGGGAGGGAGAGGCUGGUAAGACGGCUGGGGGUUUAAGGGCAUAUAUUGCUUUUGCACACACAUACACAC